UACAGAGGUCCCGAGCGUUGUUCGGAUUCACUGGGCGUAAAGGGUGCGUAGGUGGUGAGGUAAGUCGGAUGUGAAAUCUCCGGGCUCAACCCGGAAAUGGCAUUGGAAACUACCUUGCUGGAGGAUUUGAGGGGGGAUUGGAAUACUUGGUGUAGCGGUGAAAUGCGCAGAUAUCAGGAGGAACACCGGUGGCGAAGGCGGUUCUCUGGGCAUGUCCUGACGCUGAGGAGCGAAAGUGUGGGGAGCGAACAGG
rnacentral:rRNA from 1 species